rnacentral:rRNA from 1 species
AUGGACCUCUGUUCCUGGUGUUUGCAUGAGUGCCGGUGUGAUUUUAAGUACUACAGCAAGUUCGUAUACGUGGAGGUUGGAUUUACCAAUGGCGGGAAGAUACUGGCCUUAGACCUUGAAAUUUAUAACAAUGGCGGCAACUCACUAGAUCUGUCCCUUGCAGUCUUGGAGCAUGCUAUGUUUGAGUCGGAAAAUGUCUAUGAUAUACCAAAUAUAAGAGUCAGUGGGAAAGUAUGCUUUACAAAUUUCCCAAGCAAUACUGCCUUUAGAGGUUUUGGUGGUCCAGAAGGUAUGUUGAUCGCAGAGAAUUGGAUUCAUCACAUGGCUAUGGAACUCAAGCGGACUCCAGAGGAGAUAAAAGAACUUAAUUUCCAUAGUGAUAGAGCUAUGCUUUAUUAUGGCCAGUUGGUGCAGAACUGUACAAUACAUUCGGUUUGGGAUGAACUAAAGGCAUCUUCUAAUUUUGUGGAGGCUCGCGAAGCUGUAAAUGUCUUUAACAGCAAUAAUCGUUGGAGGAAGCGAGGAAUUGCUAUGGUUCCCACAAAAUUUGGCAUAUCAUUCACUACAAAAUUUAUGAACCAGGCUGGUGCUCUUGUGCAAGUUUACACUGAUGGUACUAUCCUGAUAAUGCAUGGUGGGGUUGAGAUGGGGCAGGGUUUACACACAAAGAUAGCGCAAGUUGCUGCCUCGUCACUAGAUAUCCCUCUAAGUUGUGUAUUUAUCUCAGAGACAAGUACAGACAAGCAAAUAAUGGCUCGGAUGGAACCCAUUGCUAGUAGGGGCAACUACAAGUCUUUUGCUGAGUUAGCUGAAGCAUGCUACAUGGAACGAGUAGAUCUUUCUGCUCAUGGGUUUUAUAUCACCCCCGAUAUUGGGUUUGACUGGGUUGCUGGCAAGGGAACUCCAUUUAACUAUUUCACCUAUGGAGCUGCAUUUGCAGAAGUUGAGAUUGACACCUUAACUGGGGAUUUCCACACAAGGAGAGCUGAUAUUGUCAUGGAUCUAGGCUAUUCAAUUGAUCCAGCAAUUGAUAUUGGCCAGAUUGAAGGAGCUUUCAUCCAAGGUUUGGGUUGGGCUGCCAUGGAAGAGCUAAAAUGGGGGGAUGACAACCACAAGUGGAUCCGACCUGGACACCUUUUCACUCAUGGACCCGGCUCUUACAAAAUACCCUCUGUAAAUGAUAUACCUCUCAAUUUCAAGGAUUCAUUGUUGAAGGAAAAAAGUCAGCUGCACGAUCUUCUCGCCCGCCCGACGAUCACACACAUCGAUCACGCCCAGUUUCCAACUAUGCGAUCGCCGCCGACUGAACCCCAUCCGACGCCACAUCUGAACGUCGCCGCGGAUCCGUCCCGCGUCGACCUACGCCAGCGACGUCUACACCGCGGCCCUCGUUUCCAGGUCGCGGCCGUCUUCCAUCUAACCCUCGUCUUGCACGUCGCCGUCGGACGGCUUUUUGGUCAGUUAGAUGAUGAGAGCAGCGACAACGAUUCCGUGUCGUCAUUUGAUAUCUUGCCUCCGGAGGAUUUUGAUCAUAAUGAACAUGGCGCAAAUAGUGAAAACUUAAGUGCCAUAUAUUUUGAUCUCAUCUUUGAACCUGCAAUGUAUGGCAUGGCUAACUAUCUCUCUAUGUAUACAAAUUUGCAGGAAGAUGUGGAUGUUGACAAUGUGGAAAAUAGUUUACAGGAAUCAUUCGCGGAUAACUUGAGCCAGGAGGAGUCAGAUGGUAUUAGCGGUGAUCACGAUGAGGGGGAGAUCGACAUUGAGGAGGCUCGAAGGCAGCAGCAAAUUCCGACCAUCGUUGUCCAAAAGUUGCCCGACCGGCAGCUGGACCGCAAGUUGGGAUAUAUUCCCAACCCAAAUCAAGCCAACGAGGCGACUCGGGAGGUCCAUAUAAAGCCCAUCAAGGGCCCAGCAGCCGGGUCCAACGGGGCGGCGAUUUCAAGCAGUACUAGCAGAGGAGUUCGACCUAUGUAG